AUGUCCUGGAAUGGUAUAUCCUCGAAAGAUCCGUCGCCUUAGGAUGGGACUGCGUCCGAUUAGGUUGUUGGCGGGGUAACGGCCCACCAAGCCUUUUAUCGGUACGGGUUGUGGGAGCAAGAUCCCGGAGAUGGAUUCUGAGACAUGAAUCCAGGCCCUACGGGGCGCAGCAGGCGCGCAAACUUUACAAUGCGAGCAAUCGUGAUAAGGAAACCCUGAGUGCCUGUCGAUGCAGGCUGUUCAUAUAUCUAAAUCAUAUGUGAAGAAAGGGCAGGGCAAGACCGGUGCCAGCCGCCGCGGUAAUACCGGCUGCUCGAGUGAUGGCCACUAUUACUGGGUUUAAAGCGUCCGUAGCUUGACUGUUAGGUCUCUUGGGAAAUCUUCGCGCUCAACGUGAAGGCGUCUAAGAGAUACCGGCAGUCUUGGAACUGGGAGAGGUAAACCGUACUUCGGGGGUAGGAGUGAAAUCUUGUAAUCCUCGAGGGACGACCUAUGGCGAAGGCAGUUUACCAGAACAGCUUCGACAGUGAGGGACGAAAGCUGGGGGAGCAAACGGGAUUAGAUACCCCGGUAGUCCCAGCCGUAAACAAUGUGCGUUAGGUGUGUCGGUAACCACGUGUUACUGAUGCGCCGAAGAGAAAUCGUGAAACGCACCACCUGGGAAGUACGGUCGCAAGGCUGAAACUUAAAGGAAUUGGCGGGGGAGCACCACAACAGGUGGAGCCUGCGGUUUAAUUG
rnacentral:rRNA from 1 species